rnacentral:rRNA from 1 species
UACGGAGGGUGCAAGCGUUAUCCGGAUUCACUGGGUUUAAAGGGUGCGUAGGCGGCCAGAUAAGUCAGUGGUGAAAUCCUGUUGCUUAGCAACAGAACUGCCAUUGAUACUGUUUGGCUUGAGUACAGUUGCUGUGGGCGGAAUAUGACAUGUAGUGGUGAAAUACAUAGAGAUGUCAUAGAACACCGAUUGCGAAGGCAGCUCACAAAACUGUAACUGACGCUGAGGCACGAAAGUGCGGGGAUCAAACAGG